UACGUAGGGAGCAAGCGUUGUCCGGAAUCAUUGGGCGUAAAGCGCGCGUAGGUGGCCUCGUAAGUCCGCUGUGAAAGUCCAAGGCUCAACCUUGGAAAGCCGGUGGAUACUGUGAGGCUAGAGUACGGUAGAGGCGAGUGGAAUUCCUGGUGUAGCGGUGGAAUGCGCAGAUAUCAGGAGGAACACCAAUAGCGAAGGCAGCUCGCUGGGACGUUACUGACACUGAGGCGCGAAAGCGUGGGGAGCGAACAGG
rnacentral:rRNA from 1 species